rnacentral:sRNA from 19 species
AUUAAAUAAAGACCUCCUAACUUUAUUUAAUGAAAUCCUAAACUUUUCUUUUUCAUCAUAAUCUCCUAAAGAAGUCACCCAAUCAGGUGGCUUUUUU